rnacentral:rRNA from 1 species
GGAAGUGAACCAUCUCAGUAGCCGGAGGAAAAGACAUCAACCGAGAUUCCGUUAGUAGUGGCGAGCGAACGCGGACCAGGCCAGUGCCCAUCAUUCAAGUAGCAGAACACUCUGGAAAGUGUGGCCAUAGCGGGUGACAGCCCCGUAUGCGAAACUGAUGUGAUGGGACUCGAGUAGGGCGGGACACGUGUAAUCCUGUCUGAACAUGGGGGGACCACCCUCCAAGCCUAAAUACUCGUACAUGACCGAUAGCGAACUAGUACCGUGAGGGAAAGGUGAAAAGCACCCCGAUGAGGGGAGUGAAACAGUACCUGAAACGGAUUGCCUACAAGCAGUAGGAGCCUCUUUAUGGGGUGACUGCGUACCUCCUGCAUAAUGAGCCGGCUAGUU